UCACUUGACAUGCGCACAAAGCUAUCUAUUUGAUUCUUACUGCCCCUGGUUGUUAGGAGGGGUAAAAUAGAAUCAGAAAGAAAACUUCUCAGGCAAGUCUUUGUGAUUGCACACAGGAGAUCCAUCAACCUUUUCGCACACUGAUGGCAAAGUCUUGUGUGGAAUUUUUGGGAGGUAUUGGGAUGAUUAAUGAUCUACCUGGAAACUGUGGACAGAAUGGAGAAAUGAGAAAAACCUUUCUUCUGUGUUUUUUUUCUGGCUGGCUGUCUCCUUAGAAUGCUGGCUGGCUGUCUCCUGAGAAUGCUUUCGCACCUUAUGUCUGCUUUACUUUGGCUCUGUUCCUUAGUUACGCAGAGGUGGUAAACUAAUUUGGAUCAGUCGACUGGGCAUCUGCCUCUGUUAUUAGGUUGAAUGCGUAAUACGGAUGGAGAGGUGUCUAACCACAACUGGAAACUGAGGCACAGUGAGAGCUUUCCUGAUCCAAAAUGACGUUGGUGGGCUGCAGAUAAUUGCUGGGACCCAACAAGGCCUGCACUUGAAACACUUUGCCAAGCAGAGAUUUAAGACACAAGGGCCAUAAAUGGUCAUGACCCAACUCAGGAACAAUAUAUCUUUUCCAUCAGCCUGUUCCAUACAGAGCUCUAAGGGUGUUUCCAACUUUUGUAUAAGAUUCAAGAUUAUAAAGAGCUAUGUAAACUGCAAGGCUGAUAAAACUGAUUAUGUGUGUACAGAUAAGUAAUCUACCAAAAUCAAAAAUGGACAUGUGCAUUGGUUUUGGCUUAGCUUCUGCUAAUCCAGAAACACUGAUACACAAAAUCAGAAGAUUUCAUUUGUUAUUUGACACUAUGAACACUAAAUAAAUCAGUUUGGCUUGCAUUUGUGAAACUGAUGAAGACAAGCAUCUUCCACACAGAUGGAUAUUAAAUCCCAGUCAGCGUCUUGUUCUGAUUUCCCAAGCAGAAUGCAUGGAGGAGGCUUUCUGAGCCCUCCUGGGUGGAGAAACGCAGUCAGUGUCUGAUAACAACUGCUUUCUCUCACUGUCUCUUCAGCUCUCUUGACCUAACAUGUCAUAAAAUGCUUGAGCUCAGAGGCUCUGACAACAACACGCCAUGGACAAUCUGUCCAAAAUUAAUAAACAAAUUCAUUAGAUACAAUCCCUCUGAAAGCCUGGACUGAGUCACUUUGGAAGUAUUAUAUGACAUUACUGUAGCCCCUGAGGAUGUUCUUUUUUUGGCGUUGAAAAAAUUCUCAUUUCCAAAACCUCUAUUAUGAAGUCAAACUAGCUGAGUGGCUGAGUAAGUUACCACACAUACAUCUUUCCUGUGAUUCUGGCAUUAUUAUUAAACUGAUAAUGAGCCCGCAUUCAUUUUGCUGAUUGGUUAGAUUUUUAAUUCUUUAAGGAAAUUUAAUU